GCCAAACAAUAUACGGAGAUCGGGUUCGUCCACACACUUCCGCCGCCGACUCCGCCGCCGCGAAGAGGAGAGCGAGGCCGACUCCGCCGCCGCGAUGAGGGCCAAGUGGAAGAAGAAGAGGAUGAGGAGGCUCAAGAGGAAGCGCCGAAAGAUGAGGCAGCGAUCCAAGUAGGCGGUAAGCAUCAUCUUGCAUCCAGGCAGCGGAACUCUGAGGGGUGAUGGCAUUGUCUAGUGAUUCUUGAUUUGUUCUGUUGUUUUGGCUGUGGAAGUUGCUUUUACCUGUGUUUGGUCAAAUUUAGUUGUUUAAUACUAGUCUGGCUAUGUUCCAGUACUGAGUUUUAUGUAAUGUGAGGAUUAUAUGUGUUUGUGACUGAAUUUUAUGCAGCUAUUAAUUUUGCAGUACUCUGAAAUAUGUAA